rnacentral:rRNA from 1 species
GACAGAGGGUGCAAACGUUGUUCGGAAUUACUGGGCGUAAAGCGCGUGUAGGCGGCUAUGUAAGUCGGGCGUGAAAUCCCACGGCUCAACCGUGGAAGUGCACCCGAAACUGCGUAGCUAGAGUCCUGGAGAGGAAGGUGGAAUGCUUGGUGUAGAGGUGAAAUGCGUAGAUAUCGGGAGGAACACCUGUGGCGAAAGCGGCUCACUGGACCACAACUGACGCUGAGGCGCGAAAGCUAGGGGAGCAAACAGG